rnacentral:rRNA from 1 species
AUUGAACGCUGGCGGCAGGCCUAACACAUGCAAGUCGAACGAGUGGCGGACGGGUGAGUAAUGUCUGGGAAACUGCCCGAUGGAGGGGGAUAACUACUGGAAACGGUAGCUAAUACCGCAUACCAUCGGAUGUGCCCAGAUGGGAUUAGCUUGUUGGUGGGGUAACGGCUCACCUAGGCGACGAUCCCUAGCUGGUCUGAGAGGAUGACCAGCCACACUGGAACGGAGACACGGUCCAAACUCCUACGGGAGGCAGCAGUGGGGAAUAUUGCACAAUGGGCGCAAGCCUGAUGCAGCCAUGCCGCGUGAGUGAAGAAGGCCUUCGGAUUGUAAAGUACUGUCAUCAGGGAGGCGUUACCCUCAGAAGAAGCACCGGCUAACUCCGUGCCAGCAGCCGCGGUAAUUC